rnacentral:rRNA from 1 species
CCUACGGGUGGCAGCAGUCGAGAAUCAUUCACAAUGGGGGAAACCCUGAUGGUGCGACGCCGCGUGGGGGAAUGAAGGUCUUCGGAUUGUAAACCCCUGUCAUGUGGGAGCAAAUUAAAAAGAUAGUACCACAAGAGGAAGAGACGGCUAACUCUGUGCCAGCAGCCGCGGUAAUACAGAGGUCUCAAGCGUUGUUCGGAAUCACUGGGCGUAAAGCGUGCGUAGGCUGUUUCGUAAGUCGUGUGUGAAAGGCGCGGGCUCAACCCGCGGACGGCACAUGAUACUGCGAGACUAGAGUAAGGGAGGGGGAACCGGAAUUCUCGGUGUAGGAGUGAAAUGCGUAGAUAUCGAGAGGAACACUCGUGGCGAAGGCGGGUUCCUGGACAUUAACUGACGCUGAGGCACGAAGGCCAGGGGAGCGAAAGGGAUUAGAUACCCGAGUAGUC